AGUCCGGGGGAAAAAAAAUCAUCGAUAUUGCCACUGAUAUCUCGGUAUUAUUAUUCAACGAUGGCCUGAGAAGCCUCAUGAAAGUUUUGGAGACGUUGGGGGUAACCAUCGGCCCAAAUUGUUUCAAUUUCUGCGUUGAAACCGACGCAGCACGGAUCGAGCAGGCGGAGCGCUCGCUCACGGAUGCUGCAAAAGAGGCAAGGAGAGCCUCUACAAGUUCGAGAAAAGUUGCUGGAGACCGUGAUUUGCUUCUUGAAGGCCAGCUAUAUGGUGCUGGAAUCGCUGACUAGAUCGACUUUGAAGACAGUUCUGCUGCGUGCCGCGAAUCACUGCAGAAGCAACUGCACCUGACGCGGGAGCUUCCCCAGCGCCACCAUGGGGCGUGAAAAUUUAAAAAAAAAUUGUUAUGUAUCUUUAAUAAACAACGAACAAAACAAAAAAA